rnacentral:tRNA from 1 species
GUCUUCGUGGCUCAGUCGGUAGAGCGUUGGUCUCAUAGCACAUGUUACUAUGACUCUAUCCACAGAUAGAGAUAUCCAAAGGUCGAGAGUUCGAGCCUCUCCGAGGACA